UUCCCAGUGGGUACCGCAAGCCGAAGAAGGCGAGGAGUACUCACCGGAUCAGGAAGAGAUAACCAACAGUAUGGGUAAGUAAAAUACUGUAGCAACGAUAAUGAACGAAUGAGAUAUAUAUAUAUGAAAACACAACUACCGCUACUGUAAUGUACAACUGCAAGCAUACAAGGAUAUCAAUACUAUAGUAGCAAGACAACUGUAAAGAAAGAACUAGAAGUACAUAUGCAACAACCGCUACUAUAGCUAUAUGCGUCAACCGGACGAGAAGUCCCAAAAGUACCCAAUCUAAACCGCCGUGUCGGUCUAAGGACCUCAGGCAAAAGCCACUAUCUGCUCACACCUGGCAUGUAACCCUAGCACAAAGAGAACACCGCUGGGCUCACGGGUCGGAUGUACGACCACUUUUCCGGAAAAGAACACCCUCCUGCGGGGGAUCAACCCGCUGGUGUACGUGAAAUGCACUCGAGCUGUGGCGAUCAAUGCGGAUAUGAUCAAUAGCCAACCGUCGGCAAUCAGCCAACAAUCACUGCCCCUCUGGGCAUACCGACCGUGUAGGUCAUCAAGUAACAACGUGAACCGACCGAGAUAGGUCAAAGUACGGAAAGUAACGAACGACCAAACAGGUCACCGAUGCAAAUAGGANUAGAAUCGUCGAGGGGGAUGGGGCUCAGCCCACAAUAGAAGUUACCGGCGACGACAACCCAACCUGCUGCAGGUUCAAUGGGUCGAAACAAGUCAAACGGGUAGCUGUGAGGAGCAUUGUUUUAUAUCCUCAUCCCUAUAGCGACAGUGCUCAUAUCUGCAAGUGGAUAGGAAAGGCGUUAGCCUUGAAUGAUUCCGAGACCUACAAGACAGGGUGUGACCUUGCAGAUAUCCUUUGAGGACCUACUAUAUGUGUGGAGUCGUGAGGCCGUGACUAUAGGAAGAGGGCGGUUCUCUAAAACACACACAAAGCGAUACUAGCGUAUGGCUAUAAAAGCGCUCACCCGCUUAGAACCUAAACAACUGUACUAUGUGUGCUGUUUGUGAAAAUCCGAUUCAUCGCCCUUAGUUCAAGGGAUAGUCCACUAUCGUGCCCUCGUACGUACAUUGAUAAGCACUAAGUGAAGGUUCAAACUCGAAAGGUACCUUUACUAAAAACGUGGUAUAAGAGAUCCAGCAUUCUUUUGAGUUGUUUUGAAUUUUAGUUUAUUUACUUUCUUUAUUUGAAGUUUUUAGUCAUGUGGGGGAAUGUUAGAGUGUCACGCCCCGGGGUCCCUUUUCAGUUUAAAACAAAGCGGAAAAGCAUCUGAAUUUUUUUUUUUGAAACCUGACCCCAGAGUAUGCCAGAUCCGCCACAAAUACAGGGAAUCCACUGUUCACACGGACAGAGUCUCCCCUGUAUUUGCACGGCGUCGAUCCAAUACACAGUACAACCAGGAUACAACCACAACUAGAUGAAUAUAAAAAUAACUAUACAUUCAUACAUCCACCAUUUACAUCACAGUUUUACAUUCAAGGUUUAAACAGAAAUCCACAAAAAUCUUUUGAAAACUGUUUCUUACACAGAAACCUUUAUUCUUUUAAAAACACUACCACGAGGGGUAGAGACCUUUUAUUUUACAAAAUCCAGAAAUCCACAUUUUCAAAUGUAAAUAAAUACUGAACCACAUAAACCAACUAAACUAUUCAUCAGCCAAAAUAAGAAGGGUAAGAAAGUAAACCGAAUUAACCCGGGUCGAAAGCUCUAUCGACCGCUACACGCGUACCUCACGUCUCGUCCCACUACUCAUCGCCCACGAUACCUGAAAAAUGGUGGGGGAGGUGAGAACAUGUAAACAUGUCUCCCCUCCCAGUGGGUACCGCAAGCCGAAGAAGGCGAGGAGUACUCACCGGAUCAGGAAGAGAUAACCAACAGUAUGGGUAAGUAAAACACAGUAGCAACGAUAAUGAACGAAUGAGAUAUAUAUAUAUAUGAAAACACAACUACCGCUACUGUAAUGUACAACUGCAAGCAUACGAGGAUAUCAAAACUAUAGUAGCAUGACAACUGUAAAGAAAGAACUAGAAGUACAUAUGCAACAACAGCUACUAUAGCUAUAUGCGUCAACCGGACGAGAAGUCCCAAAGGUACCCAAUCUAAACCGCCGUGUCGGUCUAAGGACCUCAGGCAAAAGCCGCUAUCUGCUCACACCUGGCAUGUAACCCUAGCACAAAGAGAACACCGCUGGGCUCACGGGUCGGAUGUACGACCACUUUUCCGGAAAAGAACACCCUCCUGCGGGGGAUCAACCCGCUGGUGUACGUGAAAUGCACUCGAGCUGUGGCGAUCAAUGCGGAUAUGAUCAAUAGCCAACCGUCGGCAAUCAGCCGACAAUCACUGCCCCUCUGGGCAUACCGACCGUGUAGGUCAUCAAGUAACAACGUGAACCGACCGAGAUAGGUCAAUGUAUGGAAAGUAACGAACGACCAAACAGGUCACCGAUGCAAAUAGGGGAACCGACCAACCAGAUCACAAGUAUAGUAUAUACGAAUGCCAUCUAUUCUACCCCUAUACAGGAUACUACAAAUAAAACAACCAGGCAGAGUAAAUAAAGAUAGUAUGUAGAUACUGCUCGAUGUCAACUAAAAGUACGAACGCAAGAACCGACCGAUAGGUCACAGGAGUGUAAUCGAUAUAGUCCAGAACUACCGUCAGCACCAGCCGACAAUCCUACCCCUCAGGGUACACCGACCUCAAAGGUCAUCGAACGACAGAAGUCAAGAAAUAGA
rnacentral:lncRNA from 1 species